rnacentral:rRNA from 1 species
AGCAGCCGCGGUAAUUCCAGCUCCAAUAGCGUAUAUUAAAGUUGUUGCAGUUAAAAAGCUCGUAGUUGAAUUUCGGGGUCAGUAGGUUGGUCGUGCCACUGGUAUGCACUGGUCUCACUGAUUCCUCCCUCUUGUAGAACCGUAAUGCCAUUAAUUUGGUGUUGCGGGGAAACAGGACUGUUACUUUGAAAAAAUUAGAGUGUUUAAAGCAGGCUAACGCUUGAAUACAUUAGCAUGGAAUAAUGAAAUAGGACGUUCGAUCCUAUUUUGUUGGUUUCUAGGAUUGACGUAAUGAUUAAUAGGGAUAGUUGGGGGCAUUAGUAUUCAAUUGUCAGAGGUGAAAUUCUUGGAUUUAUUGAAGACUGACUACUGCGAAAGCAUUUGCCAAGGAUGUUUUCAUUAAUCAAGAACGAAAGUUAGGGGAUCGAAGACGAUCAGAUACCGUCGUAGUCUUAACCAUAAACUAUGCCGACUAGGGAUCGGAUGAUGUUAAUUUUUAAUGACUCAUUCGGCGCCUUAC